rnacentral:rRNA from 1 species
UACGAAGGGGGCUAGCGUUGCUCGGAAUUACUGGGCGUAAAGCGCACGUAGGCGGCUUUCUAAGUCGGGGGUGAAAUCCUGGAGCUCAACUCCAGAACUGCCUUCGAUACUGGAGAGCUCGAGUCCGGGAGAGGUGAGUGGAACUGCGAGUGUAGAGGUGAAAUUCGUAGAUAUUCGCAAGAACACCAGUGGCGAAGGCGGGUCUCUGGGCCGAUACUGACGCUGAGGCGCGAAAGCGUGGGGAGCAAACAGG